AAUCUCAUCCAGAAUAAUUAAAGACAUGAAUGACAAAGCGAGGACAAAGUCCUAUAAAAGUGAGGCUGGUGGAAGAAGUGGUAGACAGACUGCAAACUCUUAACAAUGAAGGUCUUCGUUGCUCUUUGCCUCUUGUGUAUCGUCAUGGUUACUUCGACAGAAAUAGAUUGUGAUAAAGCGAUACCCUGCCCGCUGAUCUACGAUCCCAUGUGUGGGUCUGACGGCCACACCUACGGUAACUGGUGUCAAUUCAAAUACCAACUGGUUUGCAAGAACUCUACACUAAACCUGGUUCACUGCGGAAAGUGUGACAAAGACUAAAAACGACAUCAGAUGGACUGACAACUUCCUAUCUCUGCAUUUCAUUACCAGAACACACAGUCAUCUGAUUCUGGCCAUGUUCACUGUACACACAAUGGUUUGAUAUACACGGUCAAGUCUUGUGUGGUCUAGUACUCGAGCUGUACUAAACAUGUUUGUCUAGAAAAUAUGGAGGCUUUGAAACGAGAAAGAUAAAAUAAAGUACAAGAUUGAAAUUGCCUGCAAA